rnacentral:rRNA from 1 species
UACGUAGGGGGCAAGCGUUGUCCGGAUUUAUUGGGCGUAAAGAGCGUGUAGGCGGUUUGGUAGGUCCGUUGUGAAAACUCGAGGCUCAACCUCGAGACGCCGAUGGAAACCAUCAGACUAGGGUCCGGAAGAGGAGAGUGGAAUUCCUGGUGUAGCGGUGAAAUGCGCAGAUAUCAGGAGGAACACCGGUGGCGAAGGCGGGUCUCUGGGCCGAUACUGACGCUGAGGAGCGAAAGCGUGGGGAGCAAACAGG